AUGGCCAGGCUUGCUUCCUCAUUCCUGCUGCUGAUGGUCCCUGCAUAUGUCCUGUCCCAGAUUACCCUGAGGGAGUCUGGCCCUGGGCUAUUGCAGACCUCCCAGACUCUCAGUCUGACCUGCUCUUUCUCUGGGUUUUCACUGAGCACUAAUGGUAUGGGUGUGGGCUGGAUCCGCCAGACCUCAGGGAAGGGUCUGGAGUGGCUUGCAGAUAUUUGGUGGGAUGAUGAUAAGAGGUACAACCCAUCCCUGAAGAGCAGGCUCACAAUCUCCAAAGAAACCUCCAACAACCAGGUAUUCCUCAAGAUCACCAGUGUGGACACUGCAGAUACUGCCACAUAUUACUGUGCUCGGAGAGCACAGAGACACAGCCUCAGUUGA